CCUACGGGAGGCAGCAGUGAGGAAUAUUGGUCAAUGGACGAGAGUCUGAACCAGCCAAGUAGCGUGAAGGAUGACUGCCCUAUGGGUUGUAAACUUCUUUUAUAAAGAAUAAAACAAGGCACGUGUGCCUUUUUGCAUGUACUUUAUGAAUAAGGAUCGGCUAACUCCGUGCCAGCAGCCGCGGUAAUACGGAGGAUCCGAGCGUUAUCCGGAUUUAUUGGGUUUAAAGGGAGCGUAGAUGGGUUGUUAAGUCAGUUGUGAAAGUUUGCGGCUCAACCGUAAAAUUGCAAUUGAUACUGGCAGUCGUGAGUACAGUUGAGGUAGGCGGAAUUCGUGGUGUAGCGGUGAAAUGCUUAGAUAUCACGAAGAACCCCGAUUGCGAAGGCAGCUUACUAAACUGUGACUGACAUUGAUGCUCGAAAGUGUGGGUAUCAAACAGGAUUAGAUACCCUGGUAGUC
rnacentral:rRNA from 1 species